ACUCCUACGGGAGGCAGCAGUGGGGAAUAUUGCACAAUGGGCGCAAGCCUGAUGCAGCAACGCCGUGUGAGUGAAGAAGGUUUUCGGAUCGUAAAACUCUGUCCUAAGGGAAGAAAAAAUGACGGUACCUUAGGAGGAAGCCCCGGCUAACUACGUGCCAGCAGCCGCGGUAAUACGUAGGGGCAAGCGUUAUCCGGAAUCACUGGGCGUAAAGGGUGCGUAGGCGGCUUAGCAAGCCAGGGGUGAAAGGCAUUGGCUCAACCAAUGUAAGCCUUUGGAACUGUUAAGCUUGAGUGCAGGAGAGGUAAGUGGAAUUCCUAGUGUAGAGGUGAAAUUCGUAGAUAUUAGGAGGAACACCAGUGGCGAAGGCGACUUACUGGACUGUAACUGACGCUGAUGCACGAAAGCGUGGGUAGCGAACAGGAUUAGAUACCCUGGUAGGCUCUGC
rnacentral:rRNA from 1 species